rnacentral:rRNA from 1 species
CCUACGGGAGACAGCAGUGAGGAAUAUUGGUCAAUGGUCGGGAGACUGAACCAGCCAAGCCGCGUGAGGGAUGAAGGUACAGAGUAUCGUAAACCUCUUUUGUCAGGGAACAAAGGCGGGGACGUGUCCCCGGAUGAGUGUACCUGAAGAAAAAGCAUCGGCUAACUCCGUGCCAGCAGCCGCGGUAAUACGGAGGAUGCGAGCGUUAUCCGGAUUUAUUGGGUUUAAGGGGUGCGGAGGCGGUCUGUUAAGUCAGCGGUCAAAGCCCGGGGCUCAACCCCGGCCCGCCGUUGAAACUGGCAGUCGCGAGUUGGAGAGAAGUAUGCGGAAUGCGCGGUGUAGCGGUGAAAUGCAUAGAUAUCGCGCAGAACUCCGAUUGCGAAGGCAGCAUGCCGGCUCCACACUGACGCUGAGGCACGAAAGCGUGGGUAUCGAACAGGAUUAGAUACCCCUGUAGUC